AACUGGUGAGUAACACGUGGGAAACCUGCCCAGAAGCGGGGGAUAACACCUGGAAACAGAUGCUAAUACCGCAUAACAACUUGGACCGCAUGGUCCGAGUUUGAAAGAUGGCUUCGGCUAUCACUUUUGGAUGGUCCCGCGGCGUAUUAGCUAGAUGGUGGGGUCACUGCUCACCAUGGCAAUGAUACGUAGCCGACCUGAGAGGGUAAUCGGCCACAUUGGGACUGAGACACGGCCCAAACUCCUACGGGAGGCAGCAGUAGGGAAUCUUCCACAAUGGACGAAAGUCUGAUGGAGCAACGCUGCGUGAGUGAAGAAGGGUUUCGGCUCGUAAAACUCUGUUGUUAAAGAAGAACAUAUCUGAGAGUAACUGUUCAGGUAUUGACGGUAUUUAACCAGAAAGCCACGGCUAACUACGUGCCAGCAGCCGCGGUAAUACGUAGGUGGCAAGCGUUGUCCGGAUUUAUUGGGCGUAAAGCGAGCGCAGGCGGUUUUUUAAGUCUGAUGUGAAAGCCUUCGGCUCAACCGAAGAAGUGCAUCGGAAACUGGGAAACUUGAGUGCAGAAGAGGACAGUGGAACUCCAUGUGUAGCGGUGAAAUGCGUAGAUAUAUGGAAGAACACCAGUGGCGAAGGCGGCUGUCUGGUCUGUAACUGACGCUGAGGCUCGAAAGUAUGGGUAGCAAACAGGAUUAGAUACCCUGGUAGUCCAUACCGUAAACGAUGAAUGCUAAGUGUUGGAGGGUUUCCGCCCUUCAGUGCUGCAGCUAACGCAUUAAGCAUUCCGCCUGGGGAGUACGGCCGCAAGGCUGAAACUCAAGGAAUUGACGGGGCCCGCACAGCGUGAGCAUGUGUUUAUUCGAGCUACGCGAGACUUACAGUCUGACAUACUAUGCAAUCUAGAGAUAGACGUCCUCGGACAUGAUACAGUGUGCAUGUGUCGUCAGCUCGUGUCGUGAGAUGUGGGUAGUCCGCACGAGCG
rnacentral:rRNA from 1 species